rnacentral:rRNA from 1 species
AUUGAACGCUGGCGGCAGGCUUAACACAUGCAAGUCGAGCGAGCGGCGGACGGGUGAGUAAUGUCUGGGAAACUGCCUGAUGGAGGGGGAUAACUACUGGAAACGGUAGCUAAUACCGCAUACCCUCAGAUGUGCCAAGAUGGGAUUGGCUAGUAGGUGGGGUAAAGGCUCACCUGGGCGACGAUCCCUAGCUGGUCUGCGAGGAGGACCAGCAACACGGGAACUAAGACACGGUCCGGCUUCCUACGGUGGGCAGCGGUGGGGAAUAUUGCACAAUGGGCGCAAGCCUGAUGCAGCCAUGCCGCGUGUGGUAAGAAGGCCUUCGGGUGGUAAAGCACUUUCAGCGAGGAGGCGUUACUCGCAGAAGAAGCACCGGCUAACUCCGUGCCAGCAGCCGCGGUAAUAC